UGAGGAAUAUUGGUCAAUGGGCGCGAGCCUGAACCAGCCAAGUAGCGUGAAGGAUGAAGGUCCUACGGAUUGUAAACUUCUUUUAUAAGGGAAUAAAGUCAUCUACGUGUAGGUGUUUGUAUGUACCUUAUGAAUAAGCAUCGGCUAACUCCGUGCCAGCAGCCGCGGUAAUACGGAGGAUGCGAGCGUUAUCCGGAUUUAUUGGGUUUAAAGGGAGCGUAGACGGGUCGUUAAGUCAGCUGUGAAAGUUUGGGGCUCAACCUUAAAAUUGCAGUUGAUACUGGCGUCCUUGAGUACGGUUGAGGCAGGCGGAAUUCGUGGUGUAGCGGUGAAACGCUUAGAUAUCACGAAGAACUCCGAUUGCGAAGGCAGCCUGCUAAGCUGCAACUGACAUUGAGGCUCGAAAGUGUGGGUAUCAAACAGGAUUAGAUACCCUGGUAGUCCACACGGUAAACGAUGAAUACUCGCUGUUUGCGAUAUACUGCAAGCGGCCAAGCGAAAGCGUUAAGUAUUCCACCUGGGGAGUACGCCGGCAACGGUGAAACUCAAAGGAAUUGACGGGGGCCCGCACAAGCGGAGGAACAUGUGGUUUAAUUCGAUGAUACGCGAGGAACCUUACCCGGGCUUAAAUUGCAGAUGAAUUACGGUGAAAGCCGUAAGCCGCAAGGCAUCUGUGAAGGUGCUGCAUGGUUGUCGUCAGCUCGUGCCGUGAGGUGUCGGCUUAAGUGCCAUAACGAGCGCAACCCUUGUUGUCAGUUACUAACAGGUUCCGCUGAGGACUCUGACAAGACUGCCAUCGUAAGAUGUGAGGAAGGUGGGGAUGACGUCAAAUCAGCACGGCCCUUACGUCCGGGGCUACACACGUGUUACAAUGGGGGGUACAGAGGGCCGCUACCACGCGAGUGGAUGCCAAUCCCCAAAACCUCUCUCAGUUCGGACUGGAGUCUGCAACCCGACUCCACGAAGCUGGAUUCGCUAGUAAUCGCGCAUCAGCCACGGCGCGGUGAAUACGUUCCC
rnacentral:rRNA from 1 species